AGGGGUGUAGCUCAGCUGGUAGAGCAGUCGUCUCCAAAACGAAAGGUCCCGUGUUCGAAUCACGGCACCCCUGCCA
rnacentral:tRNA from 1 species